rnacentral:rRNA from 1 species
UGGGGAAUAUUGGGCAAUGGGCGAAAGCCUGACCCAGCAAUGCCGCGUGGGUGAAGAAGGUCUUCGGAUUGUAAAGCCCUUUCGGCGGGGACGAUGAUGACGGUACCCGCAGAAGAAGCCCCGGCUAACUUCGUGCCAGCAGCCGCGGUAAUACGAAGGGGGCUAGCGUUGCUCGGAAUUACUGGGCGUAAAGGGCGCGUAGGCGGCGUGCCAAGUCGGGCGUGAAAUUCCUGGGCUCAACCUGGGGGCUGCGCUCGAGACUGGUGUGCUGGAGGGCAGGAGAGGCUCGUGGAAUUCCCAGUGUAGAGGUGAAAUUCGUAGAUAUUGGGAAGAACACCGGUGGCGAAGGCGGCGAGCUGGCCUGUUACUGACGCUGAGGCGCGACAGCGUGGGGAGCAAA